GCCCAACUGGCGCAAUGGUAGCGCAUCAGACUUCUAAUCUGGGGGUUGCAGGUUCGAGCCCUGCGUUGGGUG